UGCAAAUGCUUAAACUGGAGGAGCAGGACUUUCUUGGAGAGGCUAGUUGCACAUUAUCUGAGAUUGUCACAAAGUCAAAUGGGUCCCUGACCUUAGACCUGAUACGUGGAGAACAAUCUUCUGGUCCAACGCAUGAACAAAAAUAUGUAAGCUUACUGUUUGUGCUGAAGAAAGUGUUGCCUCAAAGACUACUGUAGAGUUGAAAUUGAGAUGUUCAGAGUUGGUGUCCAAGUAUUUUUUCUCAAAAAGUGAUCCAUGUUUGGUGAUAUCUAAAACUAUAGAGAGUGGAAUGGUGGUUCCAAUUUGCAAAACAGAAGUUAUAAAAGAUGAUCAUAGUCCAAUUUGGAAACCAAUUUCCAUAAGGAUUCAACAAGUUGGAUGUAAAGUAUAAAAGAAAUGUUCCUCCAUGUGCUUCCUAAAAAGUAUU